CCAAAACAAAUUAAUUAAAUUAAAAGUGAUACAUCAACAUAUCUCCAAAAGUAAAUGAACAAAACAUGUAGAUAAUUUAGUCUAAGGUCUGAACUAAUAGAAAUAAAUGAAUUAAAUAAAUGAUAGAUCAUGUUUAGAUACAUCAAGGGGAGGCAUAAGCUCGCCAAAGUUUAUCUUCACUCCCCGAAAAGAUUGAUCUUUCCAAGCGUGACUUCAGUUUCGCAACAAUUUUCCUUUCAGUAUUAUAGUCCUCCUUGAACUGUAUUAACCAUAUGAAGAAGAAUAAAUUAGUUACAUUAGGUAAACUAGUCAUAAACAGGAAAGGGGCAUAGGGAAGAAGAAGAUGAAGACAACAUAUCAUAAUCUAUCUAUACAUGCAUGCGCAGGAACUCAUUCUCUUCACUCAUUGAUGUGAGCCAAGAUGAUGCAGAUUCUUGGAAUAGAGAAAACUAACAUAUGUAACCAAAUCUCUUGACUAAAUAUAUUUUCAAUGUCACUUCAGAAAAUUUUACCAAUAUUGAAAAUUGUGGCUAAGGAAUGAAUGAUUUGUAUUACCUGUAAUGUUGUGAAGAGGAGGCGAGGCAGCUGAACUUGAUCAAUUCAUCACCACAAAUAAAUUAAUAAGCAUCGGAGAUUAGCAAUGGUGUCAGGCUGUUGUGACUGAUGAAGUUGAACU
rnacentral:lncRNA from 1 species